rnacentral:rRNA from 1 species
AUACGGAGGAUCCGAGCGUUAUCCGGAUUUAUUGGGUUUAAAGGGUGCGUAGGUGGAUUAAUAAGUCAGCGGUGAAAUCCCGGAGCUCAACUCCGGAACUGCCGUUGAAACUGUUAGUCUUGAGUGUGAACGAGGUAGGCGGAAUUCGUAGUGUAGCGGUGAAAUGCAUAGAUAUUACGAAGAACACCGAUAGCGCAGGCAGCUUACCAGGCCACAACUGACACUGAUGCACGAAAGUGUGGGUAUCAAACAGGAUUAGAUACCCUGGUAGUCCACACAGUAAACGAUGAAUACUAACUGUUUGCGAUAUACAGUAAGCGGUACAGCGAAAGCGUUAAGUAUUCCACCUGGGGAGUACGCCGGCAACGGUGAAACUCAAAGGAAUUGACGGGG